rnacentral:lncRNA from 1 species
UUGUCUCGUUAUGUCUUUCAUCCCACUUCAUAUUGACUUCCCUCUGUGUAAUUAUAUUGGUUGCGAUGGUGAAUGAGUGAUAUUUCAUAAUGUAAGUCAUUUUUCUUAAAAUUCUUGUAUGUUUUUAUUAAAUACUAUUCUUUUAAAGAGUCAUUAAAAUAGAGAAUGGAAAUGGGGAAUUCAUUUAAAAUGAUAUGCAUUGCUCAAAAGUUUCCUUGGUAUGAAAU